GUGCCAGGCGCCGCGGUAAUACCGGCAGCCCAAGUGAUGGCCGAUCUUAUUGGGCCUAAAGCGUCCGUAGCUGGCCGCGCAAGUCCAUCGGAAAAUCCACCCGCCCAACGGGUGGGCGUCCGGUGGAAACUGCGUGGCUUGGGACCGGAAGGCGCGACGGGUACGUCCGGGGUAGGAGUGAAAUCCCGUAAUCCUGGACGGACCGCCGAUGGCGAAACCACCUCAGGAGAACGGAUCCGACAGUGAGGGACGAAAGCCAGGGUCUCGAACCGGAUUAGAUACCCGUGUAGUCC
rnacentral:rRNA from 1 species